rnacentral:rRNA from 1 species
AGAGUUUGAUCCUGGCUCAGAACGAACGCUGGCGGCGUGCCUAACACAUGCAAGUCGAACGGGAGUAAGAAGCUUGCUUUUUACUUUAGUGGCGCACGGGUGAGUAACGCGUAGAUAAUCUGCCUUGGAAUCUGGGAUAACAUCUCGAAAGGGGUGCUAAUACCGGAUAAGCCCACGGAGGCGCGAGUCUUUGCGGGAAAAGGGGGCCUCUGAACAUGCUCCUGUUUCAAGAUGAGUCUGCGUACCAUUAGCUAGUUGGUGGGGUAAGGGCCUACCAAGGCUACGAUGGUUAGCUGGUCUGAGAGGAUGAUCAGCCACACUGGAACUGAGACACGGUCCAGACUCCUACGGGAGGCAGCAGUGGGGAAUUUUGCGCAAUGGGGGCAACCCUGACGCAGCAACGCCGCGUGAGUGAUGAAGGCUUUCGGGUCGUAAAGCUCUGUCAGACGGAAAGAAAUCGGGCGCGUGAAUAGCGUGCCUGGAUGACGGUACUGUCAGAAGAAGCACCGGCUAACUACGUGCCAGCAGCCGCGGUAAUA